rnacentral:rRNA from 2 species
UGGGGAAUAUUGCACAAUGGAGGGAACUCUGAUGCAGCGACGCCGCGUGAACGAAGAAGGCUUUCGAGUCGUAAAGUUCUUUUAUAUGGGAAGAUAAUGACGGUACCAUAAGAAAAAACCCCGGCUAACUACGUGCCAGCAGCCGCGGUAAUACGUAGGGGGCUAGCGUUGUCCGGAAUCACUGGGCGUAAAGGGUUCGCAGGCGGAAAUGCAAGUCAGGUGUAAAAGGCAGUAGCUUAACUACUGUAAGCAUUUGAAACUGCAUAUCUUGAGAAGAGUAGAGGUAAGUGGAAUUUUUAGUGUAGCGGUGAAAUGCGUAGAUAUUAAAAAGAAUACCGGUGGCGAAGGCGACUUACUGGGCUCAUUCUGACGCUGAGGAACGAAAGCGUGGGUAGCAAACAGG